UACAGGGGGGGCAAGCGUUGUUCGGAAUUAUUGGGCGUAAAGAGCUCGUAGGCGGUGUGUCGCGUCGGAUGUGAAAGCCCGGGGCUUAACUUCGGGUCUGCAUUCGGUACGGGCAUGCUGGAGUUCGGUAGGGGAGACUGGAAUUCCUGGUGUAGCGGUGAAAUGCGCAGAUAUCAGGAGGAACACCGGUGGCGAAGGCGGGUCUCUGGGCCGAUACUGACGCUGAGGAGCGAAAGCGUGGGGAGCGAACAGG
rnacentral:rRNA from 1 species